UACGAAGGGGGCUAGCGUUGUUCGGAAUUACUGGGCGUAAAGGGCUCGUAGGCGGCCAACUAAGUCAGACGUGAAAUCCCUCGGCUUAACCGGGGAACUGCGUCUGAUACUGGAUGGCUUGAGAUUGGGAGAGGGAUGCGGAAUUCCAGGUGUAGCGGUGAAAUGCGUAGAUAUCUGGAGGAACACCGGUGGCGAAGGCGGCAUCCUGGACCAACACUGACGCUGAGGGAGCGAAAGCCAGGGGAGCAAACGGG
rnacentral:rRNA from 1 species